rnacentral:rRNA from 1 species
CAAUAGCGUAUAUUAAAGUUGUUGCAGUUAAAAAGCUCGUAGUUGGAUUUCGGGGUGGCCUGGCUGGUCCGCCGCAAGGUGAGUACUGGUCAGCCGCCCUUCCUCUCGAAAGCCCCGACUGCUCUUUACUGCAGUGGUCGGGUAGUUCGGGACGUUUACUUUGAAAAAAUUAGAGUGUUCAAGGCAGGCUAUCGCCUGAAUACAUUAGCAUGGAAUAAUGGAAGAGGACCUCGGUCCUAUGUUGUUGGUUUCUAGGGCCGAAGUAAUGAUUAAGAGGGACAGUUGGGGGCAUUCGUAUUUAAUUGUCAGAGGUGAAAUUCUUGGAUUUAUGAAAGACGAACUAGUGCGAAAGCAUUUGCCAAGGAUGUUUUCAUUAA